UUUUCCUAAACUUGUGCUGCCAGCUCAAAGAUUUCUCCGCUCAUUCACCUGGGAGAUCUGGCAAAAAAGCAUGGAAGAUUCAUCAUCAAAUUAAAACUACUGUCGAUGGCUUGGAGAUGGGGACUUCUGCUGUAGGCUUGGAAUGAAGGCAUUCUUCCUUGUCAAGUCCUGGUAAUUAUUUUUCACCAUAAAUAAGCACAGAGCCCUUUUCAGCUAUGCAUCACCGAGUAACUGUCAGAAGACAAGUGCCAUGACAAGAAAUGUCCCUCCUUAAAAUGAUUUAUUUAUUUCUACCCAAAGACACCUUGUGGAGGGGAGAGGUUGACAUGAAGUCUUUCCGCUUCACGGAGUGUAAAGAAGAACAAUCUCUCUGAUGAGAAUCCCGAUACUCAAAGAGUCUUUCUUCAGAGUGUCUCCCUUCCUUCUGAUUGCUGUCCCAUGGACACUCGUACUUCAGCAUCAUGACGAAAGGAGCAAGUCUUUUCUUCUAAGUUAAGGACAUGCUAUGUUUUACUGGAUAUGGUUUAAUCAGCUGUUUUGGUUUUUUUUUUUUUUUGAGAUUUUAUUUACUUGUUUGACAGAGACACAGCA